rnacentral:rRNA from 1 species
CCUACGGGAGGCAGCAGUGGGGAAUAUUGGGCAAUGGAGGCAACUCUGACCCAGCAACGCCGCGUGAAGGAAGAAGGCCUUAGGGUUGUAAACUUAUGUUGUAAAGGAAGAAAAGAAUGACGGUACUUUACAAGAAAGCCCCGGCUAACUAUGUGCCAGCAGCCGCGGUAAGACAUAGGGGGCAAGCGUUGUUCGGAAUUACUGGGCGUAAAGGGAGCGUAGGCGGACUGUUAAGUCAGCGGUAAAAUUGAGAGGCUCAACCUCUUCGAGCCGUUGAAACUGGUUUUCUUGAGUGAGCGAGAAGUAUGCGGAAUGCGUGGUGUAGCGGUGAAAUGCAUAGAUAUCACGCAGAACUCCGAUUGCGAAGGCAGCAUACCGGCGCUCAACUGACGCUCAUGCACGAAAGUGUGGGUAUCGAACAGGAUUAGAUACCCCGGUAGUC